UAUUUCUCCUUACUUAUUUAUUUUUAAAAACUGUGGUAAAAUACACAUACACAACAUUUACCAUCGUAACCAUUUUUAAGUGUGUAGCUCAGUGGCAUUAAGUACAUUCAUACUGUUGUGCAUCCAUCUUCCCAUCCAUCUCCAGAACUCUUCAUCUUGCGAAACUGAAACUAUGCUCAUUAAGCAAGAACUUCCCAUUCCCCUCUUCCUCCAGCCCCUGGCA
rnacentral:lncRNA from 1 species